UGGAUGUCUCAUUUUUGAUGGAACUAUAAUGCACCAAUGGUACAGCUCCAAGUGCCUAGGACGUUGUCUCUCGAUUGUCCAGUCACAGUUUUAGGCCACUAUUGCAUUACUUAACUGCUGGACUCUUCGAACACAAUAAAUUACACCUGCUAGCGGUUCUGAAGCUGAACCACCUCACCAGCUCCGAACUCUAAUAAGCAAACGCUCAGCGAAGUAGCCCGGCCAGUAACGACAACUGGAUAUGUAUGGAGGUAUUCAUGAACAACGCUUCUGUAAUCACCUUUGAAAGCGUAGCUUCGUCUUGUAGCAUAAAUUGGGCUAACAAAACCGAUGUCAUUAUUGCUACACUUACGCUAGUAAUCCCGAAAAGAUUAUAUCGAAAACGGGUCAUACCGCCUUUCGCUAUCGGCAAACAGUAAUAGUGCUGCAAACCAUCAUCAUUUUUCCAUAGUUUUACUUCCAGAACUGGCCCAACGCGUUGCUUCAGACGAUUUUUCUCCAUCACGAAACGAAGCAUAUUCAUUCCGGCCUCGAGCAUUUUACAUCCCGUACAUGCGCCGAUAUUCAUUACUGGAAGGGCUGUCGGACUUAUCUGGGUUUUUUUCAACAGAUCUAUGAAACAGCAUCCCCACAACACGCCAUGGUAACCAUUUACCAACGCAGAGAUUUAAACAGCCAUCGUCGUCUGUUUGUUGUUACCACGGCAAGGCAGUUGCAGAGAUGCGCAUUAGCCACUCAGACCGCACCGGUCCCUACAUCGUGUAAUUCUAGAUCACUCGUGUCGCAAAUUUUAAUAGGUAAAAAAAUUUACUGCAAUAAUAUAACGGAAACAAGAAACUACAUAUCGCUAACCGCUACAUCGUCGCUGGUCGACGAGCCAAUCCACUGCUAAACUAUGCGAUUCCACUUAGUUGGUGGCGCAAGCAAAGAUUGAUGCUGAGAUUUCUAAGCGAAAAAUGAAAUCUAUGAACCCCCCUCUGUGUUUCGAGUAUUAGGACUGGUAUCGCCGUUAAGCCUUAUGUCAGAAUGUUCACCCUCACGAACCCCUUGUGUGCCAGGCGUAAACCACAAUGUAUUGCUAAGACUAGCAGCAAAUACGUUACCACACAAGGCUAUCACGGGGACUAUGUAUGGCCUCCUAAGAUAAGCGAAGGACUCGCUGCUUUUUAUUGCAUUCGAUCAAGUAUACAGAAACGAUAGGAAUCCUACGUCAAUGGAGAUUAUGAUGUUAUUAAGGAUAUAUCAGAGGUUCAUCAGUUAAAGCGGAGUAUAUUCAGCAAGAUUCUAGUUAUCGCUUCAGCGCAACAGGAGUAAACAACGUUAGCAACUCUAACUACACGCUGGAACAAGUGGCGCAAGUGUGCCCUCUUUCAUCAGCCAACAACAAAGCCUAUGCCGUUCCAACACUCUCCUAGUUUCCAACGAAAAUAUCUGUACACCAACAAUCAGAACGCCUUCACUUAUGCUGCUAGCUCGUCAGAACCAUUCGAUUCGUCAUGGAUUGCUCUGAUCAUGCCGAAGUCACUUUUGGCGGCGCCUUUUGGGUAAGGUACACUUUUGUCCUUGGCAUUUGCUGAUCCUAGGAUGUUGACUCGAUGUAGCCUUACAAUACGAUGCAACCAUGGACCCACGCCAGCGCGUCACUAAUGCACUGUCGAGCGACGAAUAGGAGAUCCCGAACGAAGCGUCGCAGUCGCACGUGUAUUAGCAAAGAUCCCGUUGGGAACAAUAUAUCAAAUGGUAUGCGGUUUGGUGCCUUGCCCCCUUCUGCUCUCAAUUGCCUCCUCGUCACUGUUGUUUUUCUUUGCCUCGCAGCAGCAUUGCCCCAAGACAAGAUUCUGAAAGCUACUAAGACAAGCAGGGCGGCGUGUGGUAGCUAGUGAUAUAAACAAUCCGGAUCAUUUUCGAUACGAGUUGUAGGUCUCUAGCAAUAAAGUAAA